UACGGGGGGGGCAAGCGUUGUUCGGAAUUACUGGGCGUAAAGGGCGUGUAGGCGGCUUUGUAAGUCAGCUGUGAAAGCCCCAGGCUCAACCUGGGAAUUGCAUCUGAAACUGCAUAGCUAGAGUUCAGGAGAGGAGAGCGGAACUCCCAGUGUAGCGGUGAAAUGCGUAGAUAUUGGGAGGAACACCGGUGGCGAAGGCGGCUCUCUGGACUGAAACUGACGCUGAGGCGCGAAAGCUAGGGGAGCAAACGGG
rnacentral:misc_RNA from 1 species